rnacentral:piRNA from 1 species
UNGAUGCUUAGAGAUAGGGUUUUGAUGUAC